rnacentral:misc_RNA from 1 species
GAUGAAGAACGUAGCGAAACGCGAUAAGUAAUGUGAAUUGCAGAAUUCAGUGAAUCAUCGAAUCUUUGAACGCACAUUGCGCCCGCCAGUAUUCUGGCGGGCAUGCCUGUUCGAGCGUCAUUUCAACCAUCAAGCCCCCGGCUUGUGUUGGGGACCUGCGGCUGCCGCAGGCCCUGAAAACCAGUGGCGGGCUCGCUAGUCACUCCGAGCGUAGUAAUACAUCUCGCUCAGGGCGUGCUGCGGGUUCCGGCCGUUAAAAAGCCUUAUUUACCCAAGGUUGACCUCGGAUCAGGUAGGAAGACCCGCUGAACUUAAGCAUAUCAAUAAGCGGAGGA